GAUGAACGCUGGCGGCGUGCCUAAUACAUGCAAGUCGAGCGAACAGACGAGGAGCUUGCUCCUCUGACGUUAGCGGCGGACGGGUGAGUAACACGUGGAUAACCUACCUAUAAGACUGGGAUCACUUCGGGAAACCGGAGCUAAUACCGGAUAAUAUAUUGAACCGCAUGGUUCAAUAGUGAAAGACGGUUUUGCUGUCACUUAUAGAUGGUUCCUCGCCGCAUUAGCUAGUUGGUAAGGUAACGGCUUACCAAGGCAACGAUGCGUAGCCGACCUGAGAGGGUGAUCGGCCACACUGGAACUGAGACACGGUCCAGACUCCUACGGGAGGCAGCAGUAGGGAAUCUUCCGCAAUGGGCGAAAGCUUGACGGAGCAACGCCGCGUGAGUGAUGAAGGUCUUCGGAUCGUAAAACUCUGUUAUUAGGGAAGAACAAAUGUGUAAGUAACUAUGCACGUCUUGACGGUACCUAAUCAGAAAGCCCCGGCUAACUACGUG
rnacentral:rRNA from 1 species